UACGGGGGGGGCAAGCGUUGUUCGGAAUCAUUGGGCGUAAAGCGCGUGUAGGCGGUCCGGUAAGUCCGCUGUGAAAGUCGGGGGCUCAACCCUCGAAUGCCGGUGGAUACUGUCGGGCUAGAGUGCGGAAGAGGCGAGUGGAAUCCCUGGUGUAGCGGUGAAAUGCGCAGAUAUCAGGAGGAACACCAAUUGCGAAGGCAGCUCGCUGGGACGUAACUGACGCUGAGACGCGAAAGCGUGGGGAGCAAACAGG
rnacentral:rRNA from 1 species